CUUCGUUGAUGAUGUGAUGACGAGUCUAAAGGAGGUUUCCACUGCACAGGCAAUCUGGCUUAGAACCAUGUUUUGUGAUUCUUAGUUCAGAAUCCUGUCCAUGGAAGUCUCGUAAAUUGAUGACAUAUGAGGCAUUUGUCUGAGAAGG
ensembl:snoRNA SNORD15 Small nucleolar RNA SNORD15